UACAGAGGUCUCAAGCGUUGUUCGGAUUCAUUGGGCGUAAAGGGUGCGUAGGCGGCGUCGUAAGUCGGGUGUGAAAUCUCGGGGCUUAACUCCGAAAUUGCAUUCGAUACUGCGGUGCUUGAGGACUGGAGAGGAGACUGGAAUUCACGGUGUAGCAGUGAAAUGCGUAGAUAUCGUAAGGAACGCCAGUGGCGAAAGCGAAUCUCUGGGCAGCAACUGACGCUGAGGCACGAAGGCCAGGGGAGCAAACGGG
rnacentral:rRNA from 1 species